ensembl:lncRNA
UUCAUGUUUUGGUCUCCGGCUCCUUGUGUUUAGUUUGUUUGUUAUUUUUCCUGUUUUACUUUGGAGGUGCAUGUCUUAUGUUAAUGUAUCUGGUUUUGCUUCCCCUGUUUCGUUAGCCCUGAUUUGCCCCAGCUGUGUUUCCCUCCUGUUACCCAUUCCCUGAUUGCUCCCUCUGUGUAUUUAAGCCCUGUGUUUUUCUGUGUCCGUGUCGUGAUCUACCCUUAUCCACCCUCUUCUUCCUGUGUGUUCUGUCUGCUUGUGAACUCAAGGAAAACAGUCUGUUCCAGUCCAGCUCUCUCUCUCCCCGCUCGACUCUGGCUUCACUAUAUAGAGAAAUAGAAAGAGACUCCAUCAUCAGUCAAUCACCACCACCUGUGCUCACCUGCUUCCCGGUACUGAUCCCUUGAGCUCACUGCACCACUCCUCCCCUGCAGCUGCACCAGGGACCACACCUCAGCCACAACUGUAUUUCUUGUGUAACAAUUGUAAAAGAUCAUUUUUUUUAUUUGCUUGGAUGAAUCCGUCAUUUCAGUACAUCUUUAUUGUCUUCAUUAUCUUUUUUUUUUCAACACUUAUUGGUUCCACAAUAAGUGGAACCAUGCUGAAGGUAUUUCUGCUUGGAUGCUUCCUAUGCCUCACUCCAGUUCAACCAAUUGUCAAUGUGUAUGAAAAGUAUGGUGGCUCUCACCACGGCUGAUAUGAGAUCACCAACAACAACAAUAUUUCCCUGCAGCAACUUCUCUCUGUCCUCCUACAAGCACCUGCUAAAACCACUACAACAGCUGCACCCACUACAACUCCCUGAAAUCUG